rnacentral:rRNA from 1 species
GACAGCCAGGAUGUUGGCUUAGAAGCAGCCAUCAUUUAAAGAAAGCGUAAUAGCUCACUGGUCGAGUCGGCCUGCGCGGAAGAUGUAACGGGGCUAAACCAUGCACCGAAGCUGCGGCAGCGACACUAUGUGUUGUUGGGUAGGGGAGCGUUCUGUAAGCCUGCGAAGGUGUACUGUGAGGUAUGCUGGAGGUAUCAGAAGUGCGAAUGCUGACAUAAGUAACGAUAAAGCGGGUGAAAAGCCCGCUCGCCGGAAGACCAAGGGUUCCUGUCCAACGUUAAUCGGGGCAGGGUGAGUCGACCCCUAAGGCGAGGCCGAAAGGCGUAGUCGAUGGGAAACAGGUUAAUAUUCCUGUACUUGGUGUUACUGCGAAGGGGGGACGGAGAAGGCUAUGUUGGCCGGGCGACGGUUGUCCCGGUUUAAGCGUGUAGGCUGGUUUUCCAGGCAAAUCCGGAAAAUCAAGGCUGAGGCGUGAUGACGAGGCACUACGGUGCUGAAGCAACAAAUGCCCUGCUUCCAGGAAAAGCCUCUAAGCAUCAGGUAACAUCAAAUCGUACCCCAAACCGACACAGGUGGUCAGGUAGAGAAUACCAAGGCGCUUGAGAGAACUCGGGUGAAGGAACUAGGCAAAAUGGUGCCGUAACUUCGGGAGAAGGCACGCUGAUAUGUAGGUGA